rnacentral:tRNA from 1 species
GGGGUUGUGGCUCAGUGGUAGAGCACUUGCCUAGCAUGUGUGAGGCCCUGGGAUCAAUCUCCAGCACCACA